rnacentral:rRNA from 1 species
UACGGAGGGUGCAAGCGUUGCUCGGAAUUAUUGGGCGUAAAGGGUAGGUAGGUGGUCUCGUUUGUCUGGGGUGAAAGCCUUGAGCUUAACUCAAGAAGUGCCUCAGAAACGGCGAGACUAGAGUUCUGGAGAGGGUCGUGGAAUUCCCGGUGUAGCGGUGAAAUGCGUAGAGAUCGGGAGGAACACCAGAGGCGAAAGCGGCGACCUGGACAGCAACUGACACUCAACUACGAAAGCGUGGGGAGCAAACAGG